ACCGGCUCCAGCCCCCGAGGCGCUGGGUAGGAACCACGGACUGGAGGCACCAGCGGUUUGUGGAGGGUUGGAGGCUGGCACAUGCGCCCAGCUCCAACCACAUGAAAAGUCCCGUGCGCCCCACCUGCCAGCUGCCUUGAGCUGGCUUUUAACUCCACCGCUUGGCCUCCAUGCCCGCCAAAAGCCGGCUUUCGAAGUGGCCUACUAAUUGGGCUCUCACAUUUACGGAGCUCCUCCACUGGAUCGGGUGGCCCACCUACGGGUGCCCACUGUUUUCCUGACCAGGCUCCCAGGCUGGAACGAUGGAUCGGCACCCGGCACCGAGGCUCUGCUGACCGCUCGUCUCUAAUUCUCGCCUGACACAGACAUUCCCUGCCCAGGGAACUGUUUGAUUUAUGUUGAGGUUUCAGUGUGGGGAUUCUGCUGACAGAAUGUAAACUCUGUAGGAGGAGAGACCUUGUCUGGGUCACUGUUGAAUCUCCAGCGCCUUCCACUGUGUCUGGCACACGACAGACAACUCCCGGAGUAUUGAGCAAGUUACUAAAGGAGUAACCAGCGUCAGCUGCCCGAGACCUUGGACAAGCAACUUCGCCUCCUCAUUACUCAAAUUUCCUCCUCAGUGAAAUGAUCACUACGAGACUUAAAGGAGAUAACACAGUGUCUUAGAACCAGCCAGAACAGGAGUCAGCCAGAGAGAGGAGUGCCAGGAAGAAUGUGGCCGCCGUCCUGGAAGGAGAGGACCCACUGGAAGGAAGAGAAGCUGGCAGGUUCAGCCCCCGAGUCUCACUGUCUCCAGGGACCUGGCCUCGGGCCCUAGUAGCCCACCUCCUACCACUGUGGCCAUCACCAGCCCACUUCAGAAAAAGGCCUUUAAACCAGAUAUGGCCCACUUCCAAAUAAAAGAGAGUUUCAAAUAAAA